CUACGGGAGGCAGCAGUAGGGAAUCUUCCACAAUGGGCGAAAGCCUGAUGGAGCAACGCCGCGUGAGUGAAGAAGGAUUUCGGUUCGUAAAACUCUGUUGUAAGGGAAGAACAAGUACAGUAGUAACUGGCUGUACCUUGACGGUACCUUAUUAGAAAGCCACGGCUAACUACGUGCCAGCAGCCGCGGUAAUACGUAGGUGGCAAGCGUUGUCCGGAAUUAUUGGGCGUAAAGCGCGCGCAGGUGGUUUCUUAAGUCUGAUGUGAAAGCCCACGGCUCAACCGUGGAGGGUCAUUGGAAACUGGGAGACUUGAGUGCAGAAGAGGAUAGUGGAAUUCCAAGUGUAGCGGUGAAAUGCGUAGAGAUUUGGAGGAACACCAGUGGCGAAGGCGACUAUCUGGUCUGUAACUGACACUGAGGCGCGAAAGCGUGGGGAGCAAACAGGAUUAGAUACCCUGGUAGUCCACGCCGUAAACGAUGAGUGCUAAGUGUUAGGGGGUUUCCGCCCCUUAGUGCUGCAGCCAACGCAUUAAGCACUCCGCCUGGGGAGUACGGUCGCAAGACUGAAACUCAAAGGAAUUGACG
rnacentral:rRNA from 1 species